rnacentral:lncRNA from 1 species
UGAAGAGUCAAAAAAGUAAUUUUAUGGAUUGAAAAUUAAAUUGGAUGUUCACAACGAGCAAAAUUAAUAUUUGUCAAUAACUUAUCGACCAAAUUUAUAAUUUUUCUCCUGUUGUCUAUAGAACGUGGGCUUCAUAUCCUUUUUCUUUCCUCCAAUUGUUUUCAUAGGUGUUUCCUUCGAUCCGAUGCCUCCAAAAGUGGCUCCUAAAAGGGCUCUUAGACUAGCUUCUUCGAUGCCUCCACCACUGACUCAUAUAAUGUCACCUACAAUGCCUUUUCCAAAGAUUCCUCCAAUGUCUCCUAGAAUUCCUUCUCCAAUGAUUCUUUCAAUAGCAUCACCAAUGGAACAUUCAAUAAAUAUUUUAGUGGUUGCAUGAGUGUAAACGAAUGACUAUCAAAAUUAUUCCUAUAGAAUUCUAUUGACAAGAGAUACACAUACAAGCUACGUGCCUAACGAUAUAAUAAAGGGCUAAAGCGAAAAAGAGUUAGUUGAAGAUCUAACAUAAUAAUUUUAUGAAUUGAAAAUCAAAUGAGAAGUUCAUAAGAAUCAAAUUAGCAUUUUGUCAACUUAUAGACAAAUUCAUUAUUUUUCCUUGUUACCUAUAAAACAUGGCAUUUAUAUCCUUUUGUUCUUUUUAGUCAUAAGUUUUGUGCAAGAGUAGGCUCAUAUCACAAAAGAAGAUGAUAGAAGUAGAUAAAAAGGUGCUUCGGGUUUUACCACAUAUUUUGUCCUCCUAAGAAUAAAGUGUGUCGUCCUAUUUUUUUCUGGAUAAAAUAUUUUUACUACAAACCCCUAUGAUCGGAAUGAUUUUGACUUAUGUGAUCAACCAAAACAAAAAAAGAUAAAUAAAAGGUUGAAGUAAGCUAGAAAAGAGGAUUUAAUAUUACAUGUUCCUCAAGCCAUUACGGAAAAUCUCGGAAGGACCAACCAUGAUCGAGGAGCCAAGAGCUCCUCUAUUUGUCCCUCCAAUGGCUCUAACAUAGAUGGUUCCUCAAAUGGCUAGAUCGAUGGUUCCUCCAUUGAAUUCUUCUUUAUUUGCUCCUCCUCCAAUAUCUCUAUCAUCGGUUCCUUCAAGGGAUCUUUCUCAUGUGCCUCUACCAAUGGAUCCUCUGAUAAUUCCUUCAAGCUCUCUAAAUGUUUGCUCCUAGAAGGGCCCCUAGAGUACCUUCUCCAUUGCAUCCAUCAAUGGCUCCUCCAAUGUCACAUAGAAUGAUUCCUCCAAUGUCUUUUAAAAUAUCUUCUCCAAUAGUUCCUUCGGUGACAUCACCAAUAGAUCAUUCAAUGAAUUUUCCAGUUGCUGCAUCAAUGCCAAUGGCAUUCCACUAACAAGUAAUACACGUGCGAGGUACGUGUCUAAUUA